GGAGUAUUUGUUUCAUCAUUGGGCUAGUCAGUUAUACACACAUAGGGGUAUGCAUCUGAAGGGUCCAGUACGUCUACGUAUCCUUUGUUCAAACCGUUGUCUUUUGAAAUUGCAGUCGUCAUGGGUGCUUUAUUCCUUGGCGAUGCACUCAACCUUGGGAGCUACCAUAUAUUUCAACUAUAGCAGUGUGAUUGGAUCAAUAAUAUUGAGCUUUGGAUUAUAUGCUGCGAUUUGGGGCCAAAGCAAGAGAGGAUAUAACCAAAACAGCAAGUCUUUCUGAGCAGUCACUUUUGUUGCCUAAUCGCAACAAAGAAGAUGAAAACACGUUAUGUUAGAUGCAAGUGGGAACUUAUUUAUGGUCCCAUUAAAGAUGUCCUUGUCUAUGUUUACAUGGUUUAUAAGCAAAAAUUAGUAUCUCUCUUGUAUUUUCUUGGAGUCAUUAACUGAUUUUUGUACCCAUUUAAAAUGGUCCCUAAGUAUCCUUGUCUAGCUAUAUUUACGUCACAUGUUAUAGGUUUGUUAAUUACUGUUUACUGAUGUGCAAACGUAUGGCCUAUAUAUUAUUA